rnacentral:rRNA from 1 species
AUUGAACGCUGGCGACAGGCCUAACACAUGCAAGUCGAGCGCGAAAGUCUUCGGAUGAGUAAAGCGGCGAACGGGUGAGUAAUGCAUGGGAAUCUGCCUGGUAGUGGGGGACAACGUCUCGAAAGGGACGCUAAUACCGCAUACGCCUACGGGGGAAAGGGGGGAUCUUCGGACCUCUCGCUAUCAGAUGAGCCCAUGUCAGAUUAGCUAGUUGGUGAGGUAAAGGCUCACCAAGGCGACGAUCUGUAACUGGUCUGAGAGGAUGAUCAGUCACACUGGAACUGAGACACGGUCCAGACUCCUACGGGAGGCAGCAGUGGGGAAUAUUGGACAAU